GCAGUGGUGGUUCAAUGGUUAAGACUCCGGGUUACUGAGCAGGUGGUUAGAGGUUUGAGCCCUGGCCCUGCC